UGAGGUGAUUUGGAAACUUGGCAUUGCAGC
rnacentral:piRNA from 1 species